rnacentral:rRNA from 1 species
UAAAGAAAGCGUAAUAGCUCACUGGUCGAGUCGGCCUGCGCGGAAGAUGUAACGGGGCUAAACCAUGCACCGAAGCUGCGGCAGCGACACUAUGUGUUGUUGGGUAGGGGAGCGUUCUGUAAGCCUGUGAAGGUGUACUGUGAGGUAUGCUGGAGGUAUCAGAAGUGCGAAUGCUGACAUAAGUAACGAUAAAGCGGGUGAAAAGCCCGCUCGCCGGAAGACCAAGGGUUCCUGUCCAACGUUAAUCGGGGCAGGGUGAGUCGACCCCUAAGGCGAGGCCGAAAGGCGUAGUCGAUGGGAAACAGGUUAAUAUUCCUGUACUUGGUGUUACUGCGAAGGGGGGACGGAGAAGGCUAUGUUGGCCGGGCGACGGUUGUCCCGGUUUAAGCGUGUAGGCUGGUUUUCCAGGCAAAUCCGGAAAAUCAAGGCUGAGGCGUGAUGACGAGGCACUACGGUGCUGAAGCAACAAAUGCCCUGCUUCCAGGAAAAGCCUCUAAGCAUCAGGUAACAUCAAAUCGUACCCCAAACCGACACAGGUGGUCAGGUAGAGAAUACCAAGGCGCUUGAGAGAACUCGGGUGAAGGAACUAGGCAAAAUGGUGCCGUAACUUCGGGAGAAGGCACGCUGAUAUGUAGGUGAAGUCCCUCGCGGAUGGAGCUGAAAUCAGUCGAAGAUACCAGCUGGCUGCAACUGUUUAUUAAAAACACAGCACUGUGCAAACACGAAAGUGGACGUAUACGGUGUGACGCCUGCCCGGUGCCGGAAGGUUAAUUGAUGGGGUUAGCGGUAACGCGAAGCUCUUGAUCGAAGCCCCGGUAAACGGCGGCCGUAACUAUAACGGUCCUAAGGUAGCGAAAUUCCUUGUCGGGUAAGUUCCGACCUGCACGAAUGGCGUAAUGAUGGCCAGGCUGUCUCCACCCGAGACUCAGUGAAAUUGAACUCGCUGUGAAGAUGCAGUGUACCCGCGGCAAGACGGAAAGACCCCGUGAACCUUUACUAUAGCUUGACACUGAACAUUGAGCCUUGAUGUGUAGGAUAGGUGGGAGGCUUUGAAGUGUGGACGCCAGUCUGCAUGGAGCCGGCCUUGAAAUACCACCCUUUAAUGUUUGAUGUUCUAACGUUGGCCCCUGAUCGGGGUUGCGGACAGUGUCUGGUGGGUAGUUUGACUGGGGCGGUCUCCUCCUAAAGAGUAACGGAGGAGCACGAAGGUUGGCUAAUCCUGGUCGGACAUCAGGAGGUUAGUGCAAUGGCAUAAGCCAGCUUGACU